UCCCUCGUGGCGCAAUUGGCAAGCGCGUUCGACUGUUAUCUGAGAUUAGUCAGCACGACAUCGAGAGGUUGAUGGUUCGAGCCCAUCCGAGGGAG